CCGACUUUAGCUCAGUUGGAAGAGCAUCAGACUGUAAUUGGAUAUCGUAAUAAUAAUCUGGGUGUCGCCUGUUCGAACCAGGCAAGUCGGA